UCGGCUGUAGGCUCUUUGUAUGCAAAGCGUGGUGCUGACCUCAAAUCUGUUGGUCGAAAUUUGUCAAAGCCAUGAUAUGUGAAGAAAUGCAAUCAUUGUUAACCGGUGUGUAAAUAGGAAUCAUUAUGCUGUUCAUAGCUUAAUUGCUAUUGUAUAAUAGGAGUUGUUUGGGAUAUCACAAUUUGAAAAAUAGAAAUACGAGAUCUCUGAUCCUCCAUUUCGUUUUAAAACAUUUUUGAGGCCCAGAUAUCUUCGGAUAAGAAAUCUGGUAGGAUGGCUGUGGUGGGAACAAUUCAUUAUUACCAUUCUGUGAUAAAUACAAAGAAUUACAGUGGAGAAAAUAUGAGAACCUGGGGUACAUCGUCAAUGGUUUCAAGGGGGAAAUUCUGGGCAAGCAUGUUGCUAUGACCUCGGUAGCGACUAUGGUCCGUCUGGUUUAUAAUUGAAGGCAAGGUUUUUUUAAACCUUUAUUUGUUUGAUUUAUUUUGGUGGCAAUAUUAAUACCCGUUUUCCCAAACAGAUAUUUGUUUAAGCAGCAACCAGAUACCUGAUUCAUCCUCAUUUUUGAAGAAGCAUAUAAG
rnacentral:lncRNA from 1 species